rnacentral:tRNA from 1 species
GGUGGUUCAACUGUAGAGUUCUCACCUUUCAAGCGAGAGAUCCAGGUUCGAUUCCUGGCC